GGCCAGGUAGCCAAGUGGUCUAAGGCGAGGGUCUGCAAAACCCUUAUUCAGGGGUUCAAAUCCCCUCCUGGCCUCCA
rnacentral:tRNA from 1 species